rnacentral:lncRNA from 1 species
UUUAAAAAAAUGUAUGGAAACAUAUAUUUUUUGGAAUCAGCUUACUAGGAGCUAUCAUUUGACGAUUGAAAUGACAUUUUAAACUUAGUUUCACAACUUUUCAUAUCAAAAUACAUUGUUUUGAUGGAAAGACCUUCAAUUGUUCUCUGAACAAUUGGUUUUUAAUUUUUUUUUUUUUUCUUCCGCCAAAUUUUGUUCUUGCGAUAAACAUUUGUUUCGCAAUAUGUCGCUUAGAUAUUUGGUAUAUGAUAUCGAACAGUUUAUGCGCUUUUGAAAUUUACCCUGCGUAACCGAAUACUUUUCUUUGUAGGAGUUAUCUCCCCAAACACUGUUUUCCUUGUGCUCACAACUCCUUCGCAACCGUAAAAGAUUACGACAAAUUUAUUUUAUAAAAUUGCUCGUUAUAUCCUUCGCAUGAUUUGUCU